UCCCUCAUAGCUCAGUUGGUAAAGAAUCUGCUUGCAAUGCAGGAGACCCUGGUUCAAUUCCUGGGUUGGGAA
rnacentral:tRNA from 1 species